AUUGAACGCUGGCGGCAGGCCUAACACAUGCAAGUCGAGCGGAUGAAGGGAGCUUGCUCCUGGAUUCAGCGGCGGACGGGUGAGUAAUGCCUAGGAAUCUGCCUGGUAGUGGGGGAUAACGUCCGGAAACGGGCGCUAAUACCGCAUACGUCCUGAGGGAGAAAGUGGGGGAUCUUCGGGCCUCACGCUAUCAGAUGAGCCUAGGUCGGAUUAGCUAGUUGGUGGGGUAAAGGCCUACCAAGGCGACGAUCCGUAACUGGUCUGAGAGGAUGAUCAGUCACACUGGAACUGAGACACGGUCCAGACUCCUACGGGGGGCAGCAGUGGGGAAUAUUGGACAAUGGGCGAAAGCCUGAUCCAGCCAUGCCGCGUGUGUGAAGAAGGUCUUCGGAUUGUAAAGCACUUUAAGUUGGGAGGAAGGGCAGUAAGUUAAUACCUUGCUGUUUUGACGUUACCAACAGAAUAAGCACCGGCUAACUUCGUG
rnacentral:rRNA from 1 species